rnacentral:rRNA from 1 species
GGCGUGCUUCAUACAUAGCAAGUCGAACGAGAAACUGACUUCGGUCAGUGGAAAGUGGCGGACGGGUGAGUAAAAUGUAGAGAAUCUGCCCUAGAGAGUGGGACAACAGAGGGAAACUUCUGCUAAUACCGCAUAUGCGCGUAGCUGAGAUGCUAUUCGUGAAAACUCCGGUGCUCUGGGAUGAGUCUGCAUCUGAUUAGGCUAGUUGGCGGUGUAAUGGACCACCAAGGCGACGAUCAGUAGCUGGUUUGAGAGGAUGAUCAGCCACAAUGGGACUGAGACACGGCCCAUACUCCUACGGGAGGCAGCAGUAGGGAAUUUUGCGCAAUGGGGGAAACCCUGACGCAAGCAACGCCGCGUGAUUGAAGAAGCCCUUCGGGGUGUAAAGAUCUGUCAGUGGGGACGAAACUUGACGGUACCCACAGAGGAAGCAUCGGCUAACUCCGUGCCAGCCGCUGC